CCAAAAUGAACUUUUCUUCUAUACAUGAACACGCAUCAAGUUCUAAUAAGUUGUGACAAACAUGUGAAAGUGGAUCAUUACAUCAUUUCUUUUGUACCAAACAAAAGUAACCGUGCAGACUUAUUAUUCUUACAUUGAGACAUCAAGACUUGAUAAAAAACACAUAGAUGCACAAAUAGGGCCAGGGCAGGAGAAACAACAGUCGGUCCGGAGACCACCAUAAGAACUGCAGAUGUCCAGAAAAAUCACAGAUUCUCGACUUACUAUUCUUGCUAUCAACAAAUUUAUUUGACUUGGCAAGAACCUUGACCUGGGCCUGUACUAUAUUUAGGUCAUGCAAAACGAUGUUAAAAUGAACCUCCCUAGUCCCUACGAAUCCUAUGCAGAAAGUGGACAGAAAUACACCAGGUAUAAUUGGAACAAAAUACUGGCGUGGAGAUCUAUACUCAAUAUAGGCAUCAGAUUGGUAUUGCAAAAAAUACGCAUGACUUUACCGUUGUGAAACAAGAUUACUUGGAAAUAUUUUGGUGUAUUUUGCCGUAUAAUUGUGUCGGGAAUUCGGAUUAUUUCCGAACAUGGGUGAACUAUCUACCCACGCGAUGGGAUUCUGGACUAUGCCAGCAGUAAUGAAGUACCAACGAAAAGGAAGAAAUUUGUACCAACUAUGCCUCAAAUGAAAUUGUAAUCGAAUUCCCUCUUCAGAUGGAGUCCACAUAACCUGCAAAAAAAGAUCAAGAAACCCAAUGAAAUCCUUCCAGAUCAAAUCACAAAACUGAAGCAGGAAGAAGAUAUGUGGCCCAUCAUGACAUACUAGGUGCAGAAACAAGAAAAAUCAUAAAGAAUAUAUAGUACAUCGUUGCCCAAUUGCUGUACCAAGAAUCACCUCAAUUCAUGUCUGCAGAUCGCCACUCCACAAUUUACCAGUUAACCGAGCAUAGGGAAUCAGAAUAUAAUCAACAUCAUAUAGAAUACAAGGAAAAAGACGGCAAAUAGCUCGAUGGGCAGAUCGGUGCAGCAGGAAACAAUCGGGGGAAGAAGCAACUAAUUGGAGAGGAUUAGAGAGGAAGGCGCAUAUUGCUGCUUGUUCACCUGUUGUGCUUCUGAUAACAGCGGAAAACAUGUAGGAACAAAGCGGACAAAGCGUAGGUUGCAUCAGAAGCAGCCUCCGGACAGAAGAAAGGCUGCAGCCGGCCAGCCUGAAGCCCCAUAGAGCCACC
rnacentral:lncRNA from 1 species